AUUGAACGCUGGCGGCAGGCUUAACACAUGCAAGUCGAGCGGAGAUGAGGUGCUUGCACCUUAUCUUAGCGGCGGACGGGUGAGUAAUGCUUAGGAAUCUGCCUAUUAGUGGGGGACAACAUUCCGAAAGGAAUGCUAAUACCGCAUACGUCCUACGGGAGAAAGCAGGGGAUCUUCGGACCUUGCGCUAAUAGAUGAGCCUAAGUCGGAUUAGCUAGUUGGUGGGGUAAAGGCCUACCAAGGCGACGAUCUGUAGCGGGUCUGAGAGGAUGAUCCGCCACACUGGGACUGAGACACGGCCCAGAGUCCUACGGGAGGCAGCAGUGGGGAAUAUUGGACAAUGGGGGGAACCCUGAUCCAGCCAUGCCGCGUGUGUGACGAAGGCCUUAUGGUUGUAAAGCACUUUAAGCGAGGAGGAGGCUACUGAGACUAAUACUCUUGGAUAGUGGACGUUACUCGCAGAAUAAGCACCGGCUAACUCUGUGCCAGCCGCCGCAGUAACAC
rnacentral:rRNA from 1 species